rnacentral:lncRNA from 1 species
GCCGGAGGUUGACUGUUUGAAGCCACACCACUCGGCGGAACUCCAGGAAGAGGAGGCACCAAAGGUUGAUCAUUUGGAGCUUCAUUACGCGGUACAGCCCCAGAAGAUGAAGGCAAAUGUUGUUGGAACAAACCCACAAACCUCUGAUGAUCAAGUAAAAUCUGACCAUCAGAUUCCUGCAUCUGGUCAAUUUUCCUCUUCAUGUUUGUGGCAUAGUUGUGUGCGAUCUUGUGCAACUGUUUAUUCUCAUGCUUGAGCCCUCUAAUCUCCUGUUUGAGACUCAUCACUUUAGCCGCCAACAUUCAACUUGACGGGUUCGAGCAAAUAGGCGUUGGGCCAUGUUGGACACAGAACCCGUACACUGCACACUAAGAGCCAGAGACUCCUUAACAGCCAACUCAU